rnacentral:rRNA from 1 species
AUGAACGCUAGCGGCAGGCCUAACACAUGCAAGUCGCGGGGUAGAAGGAGCUUGCUCCUUUGAGACCGGCGCACGGGUGCGUAACGCGUAUGCAAUCUACCUUGUACAGGGGAAUAGCCCAGAGAAAUUUGGAUUAAUGCCCCAUAGUAUAUAACCUUCGCAUGUUGGUUAUAUUAAAGUUCCAACGGUACAAGAUGAGCAUGCGUCCCAUUAGUUAGUUGGUAAGGUAACGGCUUACCAAGACGAUGAUGGGUAGGGGUCCUGAGAGGGAGAUCCCCCACACUGGUACUGAGACACGGACCAGACUCCUACGGGAGGCAGCAGUGAGGAAUAUUGGUCAAUGGUCGCAAGACUGAACCAGCCAUGCCGCGUGCAGGAAGACGGUCCUAUGGAUUGUAAACUGCUUUUAUACAGGAAGAAACCCUCCCACGUGUGGGAGCUUGACGGUACUGUAGGAAUAAGGAUCGGCUAACUCCGUG